UACAGAGGGCUCAAGCGUUGUUCGGAUUCAUUGGGCGUAAAGGGUGCGUAGGUGGCGCCGUAAGUCGGGUGUGAAAUUUCGGAGCUUAACUCCGAAACUGCAUUCGAUACUGCGGUGCUUGAGGACUGGAGAGGAGACUGGAAUUCAUGGUGUAGCAGUGAAAUGCGUAGAGAUCAGGAGGAAGACCAGUGGCGAAGGCGGGUCUCUGGACAGUUCCUGACACUGAGGCACGAAGGCGAGGGGAGCAAACGGG
rnacentral:rRNA from 1 species